AGAAUGAACGCUGGCGGCGUGCUUAACACAUGCAAGUCGAACGGAAUCCAAGGAGCUUGCUCCAGAAGAUUUAGUGGCGAACGGGUGAGUAAUGCAUCGGGAACGUAUCCUUGAGUGGGGGAUAACGCAGCGAAAGUUGUGCUAAUACCGCAUAAGCUCUGAGGAGGAAAGCGGGGGACCGAAAGGCCUCGCGCUGAAGGAGCGGCCGAUGUCCGAUUAGCUAGUUGGUGAGGUAAAGGCUUACCAAGGCGACGAUCGGUAGCUGGUCUGAGAGGAUGAUCAGCCACACUGGGACUGAGACACGGCCCAGACUCCUACGGGAGGCAGC
rnacentral:rRNA from 1 species